rnacentral:lncRNA from 1 species
GCAAGUAGAACUUUCUAGGCUUUGUCCAAUAUUCUGUUUGUCUUCAAUGUUGCUCACAGUUAUCGAGUUGUUUGAUUUUAUUAAGUUGCAUUGUAUCGAUCUCUUAGUUUUAUCAAGGGCUCACAAAUAUCGAAUGGCUUAGAUCUGAUUAUGUUGUCUUUACCGGCUUCUUAAUCUUGUCUAAGCAUUCAUCAGUUAUCUGAUCGUAUCGACUAGUUAGAUCUUGUAUGCUCGUCUUGUUUUACAUAUGCUAGAUCCGAUAGAUCUUUAUUCC